rnacentral:rRNA from 1 species
AGACGUCUACAUUAGAUACCCGGGUAGUCCUAGCCGUAAACGAUACUCGCUAGGUGUCGGCCACGGUGCGACCGUUGUCGGUGCCGUAGGGAAGCCGUGAAGCGAGCCACCUGGGAAGUACGGCCGCAAGGCUGAAACUUAAAGGAAUUGGCGGGGGAGCACCACAACGGGUGGAGCUUGCGGUUUAAUUGGAUUCAACGCCGGAAAUCUUACCGGGACCGACAGCAACAUGAAGGCCAGGCUGAAGACUUUGCCGGAUUAGCUG